rnacentral:rRNA from 1 species
GAAGAGAGAGUUCAAGAGUACGUGAAACCGUCUGGGAGUAAACGGGUGGUACCCGAAAGUACGAAAGGGGAGAUUCAGGUCUCGCCGCGCGUCGGGCGGCGGCCGCGACCAGAGAUGGCGUUUCCGCGGCCGGGGGGCGACCCUCGGUCCGGGGNNNGCGCCACUCCGCUGCCGCCGUUCACUGUCCCGGCGCCGGAGUGACGCACUUCUCCCCCUGUAGGACGUCGCGACCCGUCGGGCGCCGGCCUAAGGCCCCGGGUGGAGUCUGCGCGGUCCGCUCUCCCUUCGGGGGGGCUGCCUGCGCACGACCCCGGGGACCCCGGCCGGGUGCUCGACGGUACGAAGCGAGGAAGGAGUCGACGCGCCGAACGUUCGGCGUCCGGCCCUCCGCAAGCGCCCGCGGGAGUCCGGGCUUCCGGGCCCGGCCCGAUCCCGGAUCCUCCGCGGGGCUGUUUGCGAUUUGGAGGUGACCUCGGAC